UACGGAGGGUGCAAGCGUUAUCCGGAUUCACUGGGUUUAAAGGGAGCAUAGGUGGGAUGGUAAGUCAGUGGUGAAAUCUCCGGGCUUAACUCGGAAACUGCCGUUGAUACUAUCAUUCUUGAAUAUUGUGGAGGUAAGCGGAAUAUGUCAUGUAGCGGUGAAAUGCUUAGAUAUGACAUAGAACACCAAUAGCGAAGGCAGCUUGCUACACAAUUAUUGACACUGAGGCACGAAAGCGUGGGGAUCAAACAGG
rnacentral:rRNA from 1 species